GAUGAACGCUGGCGGCGUGCCUAAUACAUGCAAGUCGAGCGAACAGACGAGGAGCUUGCUCCUCUGACGUUAGCGGCGGACGGGUGAGUAACACGUGGAUAACCUACCUAUAAGACUGGGAUAACUUCGGGAAACCGGAGCUAAUACCGGAUAAUAUAUUGAACCGCAUGGUUCAAUAGUGAAAGACGGUUUUGCUGUCACUUAUAGAUGGAUCCGCGCCGCAUUAGCUAGUUGGUAAGGUAACGGCUUACCAAGGCGACGAUGCGUAGCCGACCUGAGAGGGUGAUCGGCCACACUGGAACUGAGACACGGUCCAGACUCCUACGGGAGGCAGCAGUAGGGAAUCUUCCGCAAUGGGCGAAAGCCUGACGGAGCAACGCCGCGUGAGUGAUGAAGGUCUUCGGAUCGUAAAACUCUGUUAUUAGGGAAGAACAAAUGUGUAAGUAACUAUGCACGUCUUGACGGUACCUAAUCAGAAAGCCACGGCUGACUACG
rnacentral:rRNA from 1 species